GUAAACGAUCACAUUAAGCAAGUUAAGUGGGGAAGGUGAAGUUAUUUUGAGCUCUUGGGGAUCUGUUUUGUUAUCAUCAAUCAAGAUAAUCGUAAAGACAUCCUGCAAGUGCUGAUGACAAGGCAAUGAGUCACAGCACCCAGAACAAACAUACCAGCGACUUGUUUCGAGAGGUUAUGUCGAAGAAGGCGUGUUUCUGAAUGGGAAGAGAGAAUGCGAGAUGAAGCAGAGCCUUGGAUUAUAAAGGACACCACUGCCCAGAAUGCCAAUGAUGUGGCUUGUCGCGCAGAUAUCUGCUUCAGUGGUCUCCUGUUGUCACCCCCAGCACUACUCAAGACUGAGAGCUAGAACUAACCAGUAGAGGUCACCAAAAUCCUGUGAUACAUGCCCUGCUCCACCCCCCCUUUUUAAGACAUGACAAGGGAGUUUGAGAUCAACGCCCUUUGUCCAGUUGGACGUCUCGGCCUGUCUUGCGUGUAC